rnacentral:rRNA from 1 species
CCCCUAGAUGUUCUGGGCCGCACGCGCGCUACACUGAACAGUUCAACAAGUCUUAACCUUGGCCGAUAGGUCUGGGUAAUCUUUGAACGCUGUUCGUGAUUGGGAUAGACCUUUGCAAUUAUGGGUCUUCAACGAGGAAUUCCUAGUAAACGCAAGUCAUCAGCUUGCAUUGAUUACGUCCCUGCCCUUUGUACACACCGCCUGUCGCACCUACCGAUUGAAUGGUCCGGUGAAAUCUCGGGACGGCGGCUCGGUCGCUUGCGUCCGACUGCUGAAACUUGAUUAAACCAUAUCAUUUAGAGGAAGGUGAAGUCGUAACA